rnacentral:rRNA from 1 species
AGAAUCAACGCUGGCGGCGUGCCUAACACAUGCAAGUCGCACGAGAAAGGGACUUCGGUCCUGAGUAAAGUGGCGCACGGGUGAGUAACACGUGAAUCAUCUACCUCCGAGUGGGGAAUAGCCUAGAGAAAUCUGGGCUAAUACCGCAUAACACUUACGAGUCAAAGCAGCAAUGCGCUUGGAGAGGAGUUCGCGGCAGAUUAGUUAGUUGGCGGGGUAAUGGCCCACCAAGACGAUGAUCUGUA